rnacentral:rRNA from 1 species
GACGAACGCUGGCGGCGUGCUUAACACAUGCAAGUCGAACGGAAAGGCCCUGCUUUUGUGGGGUGCUCGAGUGGCGAAGGGGUGAGUAACACGUGAGUAACCUGCCCUUGACUUUGGGAGAACUUCAGGAAACUGGGGCUAAUACCGGAUAGGAGCUCCUGCUGCAUGGUGGGGGUUGGAAAGUUUCGGCGGGUGGGGAUGGACUCGCGGCUUAUCAGCUUGUUGGUGGGGUAGUGGCUUACCAAGGCUUUGACGGGUAGCCGGCCUGGGAGGGUGACCGGCCACAUUGGGACUGCGAGACGGCCCAGACUCCUACGGGAGGCAGCAGUGGGGAAUAUUGCACAAUGGGCGGAAGCCUGAUGCAGCAACGCCGCGUGCGGGAUGACGGCCUUCGGGUUGUAAACCGCUUUCGCCUGUGACGAAGCGGGAGUGACGGUAAUGGGUAAAGAAGCACCGGCUAACUACGUG